AAGCUCUCAAUCAUCCCAGCAAUCUGGACAGUGCCUCCCAGAGAUGAAACAUGAAAAUGACACCGUUUGAUGAGAAAUGGACAUUUUAAAAUCUAUAAAUGCUACAAGCUGGUUCACGUUACUCUACUAUUUCCCACAUGGCUGGGCGUGGUAGUGAGGACAAGCUCCCACUACCUAUUGAAUGCUCCCAAUGUUGCGUGACUCAAAUAGCCUCUGACAACCAAGCCCAGCUCCUGGCCUUCACGUGCGGCUUAGCUCCUAAGCCCAGCAGAACUGUUACUACAGACAAGAGAAAGGGCAAAGGUGGGCCACUGGUGCCUUAAAACCAGUCACUUCGAGCAGAUGGGGCUCGUCAGCCGUGGCCGGCAACUCAUCUAGGAGAAGGGAAACUCUGAUCUCAAACCUCUGCUGCCUUGCGGCUGUAUCCACUCGUGGAUGGCUUUGGGAGUAAAGCCUGAUGGAAAAAUCCAGAGCCGGAGUCCCUAAGGUGGUCCUACCUUGAGAUCAACACCAACCUGCAAUGCUGCUGAUGCCAAACUGUAUUGGCUUCUGUUGUUCCUUUGGGUUCAUCAGAUGCUUGGAGAGGGGUUGCUUGCUACCGGGGAAGCAGCUUGUUCUCCAUAUUGUACUGCCCUGACUUGCAUAUCCAGGCAGCUAAGAUGCAACAUCCAUGGUUAACCCUGACUGACUGAGGACUCAGCAUCAUUGGUAGCACACAUUGAAUAUACUGCCCAAUAAGCACAGUUUACUACCAUCCAAUUAUUGUAUAAUGUGUGUAUUCAUCUAAGUACCCUACCAAAGCUUAUGGCUUUAUUAUAUUUAGAUAUACAGUCAUAAAUCUUGUUUAUUAUCUCUAAAUAUUGAUGAUCUAAUGUGGUAACAAACUUCUACAAGAGAUAACCUGAUUGGUUGAUUUAUGGUCUGAUAUGGCAAUUUGCAUCUGCACAACUGUAAGAAGCUGCAGAUUCGUGGACUCAUCCUUCCCCAUCUAUCGGUAGUGUCUACUGGGGGUGCUGCCUCAAGGAGACAAUGUCCCUCAUCAGAGAUCCCCACCAUCUGGGCCAUGCCAUCCUUUUGAAGCUACCAUCGUGCAGGAGGUACAGAAGCCUGACGCCCAAGUUCAAAACCAGUUACUUCCCUUCUACCAUCUGGUUCUUGAACCAACCAACAAAACCCCAAUCACCACAGUUUAAUAGCAUGAUGAGCACUAAACUUUGCACUAAAAUGAACUUUUUUUUGUUCAAUUGUAAUUUUAAAAUAUAUAUAUAAUUGAAGAUGGUACCAGCAAACAAUUCCACCAGAAGAGACAUCCUCAAGAAGGCCUGCAGAUAAUGAACACUGAGCUGAACUGUACUGAAAUAUGUCUGGUGAUUUUUGUGUUUUACGUGCUGGGUUUUCCUUGUUUUUGUUACCAUUUGCGCGAUUUUGUUUUUGCACCUGGGAGGAGGGAAGGGGGUUUGAUGUUUUUCUUUGGACAGUUUGGUUCCAUGGUUCUUUGUUUUGUGGCUGUCUGUGAGGAAGACAAAUCUCAGGGUUGUAUACUGCAUACAUACUUUGAUAAUAAAUGUACUUUGAAUCUUUUAAUUAAUUUAUGUUUAUCUUGUGAAUGCUGCUCAGAUGAUGAUACAGGUAACUUUUUUUUUGUUCCACCUGUGCAUAGACGUACUUGUGACAAUGAACUCAACUUCAACUUGGUGUCCCCAGCCCUAAAUAGCCCUCAGCGGAUUACAAAUCUCCUGGUUCAUCCAGGGCUUCUGGUUGGGCAAGACCCUAAAUGUUUAUGUUGGUACACACUGGUCCAUGCAAAUCCUUAUGAAGUUGGUGGUGACUGUGGCAAAUCCAUUUAAGUCCACUGACAAAUCCUUGAAUAUUGUGAACAUUUACAAGUGGUAGUGUAAUGGUUAGCACAAUGCUUUAUAGUACCAGUGACUCAACUGUCUGCAAGGAGUUUGUACAUUUUCCCCAUUACUGUAUAGGUUUCCUCUGGGCGCUCCAGUUUCCUACCACAGUCCAAGGAUUUACGGGUUGCUAGGUUAAUUGGUCAUUGUAAAUUGUCCUGUGAUUAGGCUAGGAUUAAAUCGGGGAUUGCUGGCUCAAAGGGUCAGAAGGACCUAUUCUGUGCUGGAUCUCAAUAAAUAAAUUGGGGAAUUAAUAAAGGAAGCAGAGAAUGGUGUGAAAAGCAACAAAAGUUUUGGAUUAGAGAGGAAAAAGAAGUCAGUCUCUUUCUUGAACAAGAGACCUAUAUCAAGUCCUCUUUGUAAGUUAAAAGAAAGAUCAGUCAUAAUCCAAAGAAGCUGUGUGGAGCGAGACAUGAUGGAAAUAUGUCCUUGUCUAUUGAUAGCUAAUAGAAUCUCAUCUUCACUUUAUUUAAGCAUUUUUCAACAACCGGACAUUGCUGGCAAAUCCAGUAUUUCCCUGAUUGGCCUUAAAGUAACGGUAAGAUUUCACCCACAAUGUUGUUGGAGAAGGAAUUCCAGGCAUUAGACACGAUGAUGAAUGGUAAGAUAUUUCCAGGUCAGAAUGGUGUAUGAAUGUCUUGAUGAUGAUCCCAUGUGUCUUCUGCUUUUGUCAUGUCCAGUGGUGGCAUAGGGGACUCGGGAGGUGCCGUUGAAGCAACUUGGGUAAGAACUCCAUUGUUAAUUAUUACCCAGAUGACUGACAGAGUAGCAUGACUCUGAUUGUAGAACCAUAAGUGUGGUGUGGAAAAGAACCAAGUUCAACUCAUCCAUGCCAAUCAGUGGGCACCUUUUGGUAUUAACCCUGUUGCUCAGCACAUUAUCCACAGAACCAAAGUCAUCUAGACACUACUUAAAUGCUGUCAGUGACCCAGCUUCAAUUACUCCCUCAAGCAGUGCAUUUCAGGUACUUGCCACUCUGAGUGAAGUAAAUCACCCUCACGUGCCCUCUAAAUCUCUUCCCCUUACCCUAAACGUGAUCUUUAGUUGUUUUCUACCUCUGGUAUGCAGAAAAGUUUUCCUACAGGGCCUAUCCCUGCCCAAGCACAACUUUAUACCUCAGUGAUGUCCCUCCUGUGCUUCAGGAGGGGAAGACCUGGCUUCUCCAGUCUCUCCCCAUAAUGCAACUGCUCCAUCCUGGUGAAUCUGCACUGUACUAUCUUGUGACCAUCCUAUCCUUUCUGAUGAAGGAUCUCUGCCCGAAACAUUAGCUGUACAUUUUCCCCCAUUGAUGCUGCCAGACCAAUUGAGUUCCUAGUGUGUGUGUCUCCCACUCUUUGAUGACCACAGAGAACUCCAGCUGAGGUCUGACCAGGGUUUAUUGUGUUGGAACAUAACCUCUCUCCUUCUCUAUUCAGUGCCCCAACUAAUGAAUAUCAAUUUCCCUUGUGCUUUCCUAACCAUGCUAUCUAUUUGUGUUGUCACCUUCAAAGUUCUAUGGGCUUGUACUCCGAGUUGCCACAGUAUUCCCCAAGUCUUUGCCAUCCAUUGUGCUUAUUGAAGCCUCAUUUAAACUCCCGCAAUGCACUACCUUGCAUUUGUCUGAAUUAAAUGCCAUCUGCCAUUUUUCAGCCCAUCUCUCUAAAACUGUAAUAAUCAUCAGCAGCUUAAGAUUCCACAUUACCAUAAACUAUACCAAUGUUUAAGUCAUCUAUUAAUUUGCUGAUUGUGUCUCCUCAUCUGUUGCUCACAUAUCACAAACUGCGAACUGUAUGCUAAUGACAAAAGUGGAUCUCUACCGUCACCCUCUUUCUCCUUACUGCCAGGCCAAUUGUGAUUCAAGUUUGCCAACUUGCCCUGGAUCCCAUGGGCUCUAACCCUCUGAGCUAGCCUUCCUUGUAAGACCUUAUCAAAGGUGUAGUGUAUUUAAUAUUUCAGUAAUAUUUGAGUAAUAAUGAAGGCAUCUGUUAGUCUUGCGAGACCAUGGAUCUGUGCGUGGAAAGUCUUCACUCUUCAGGGUGCAGGGCCUGGGCAAGGUUGUAUGGAAGACCAGCAGUUGCCCAUGCUGCAAGUCUCCCCUCUCCACGACAGCAAUGUUGUCCAAGGGAAGCAUUAGGACCCAUACAGGUUGGCACCAGUGUCAUCACAGAGCAAUGUGUGAUUAAGUGCCUUGCUUAAGGACACAGCACGUGUCCUGGGGCUCGAACUCACGACCUUCAAGUCGCUAGUCCAAUGCCAUAACCACUUGGCCACGUGCCCACACAAUAUUUGAGUAGCCUUGUAUAUAUGUUUGAAGCAUUCUUGUUUGUUUAAAUAAUUACAGGUUAUAUGUAAAAAAUACAUGAAUUACAUAUGUCGUCAUGCUACCAUGUUAUAUAAGCGCAUCUCUCUUAAAGUAAACACGAAGUUAGAUCCGCAUUCCUGGAUUCCCAUGUCUUCCUUUGAAUUAGUUUAAUGUUUUGAAGUUAUGAAAUAUUAACAAAAGGCUUUGCCAAAGAAUGGCACCAGAUUUGAACUCCAAAGUCCGGAUUGUCCCAAGCUGUAAUAGCAUCACUGUAACCAUGGCACCCGGGCCGGACUUUAGGCAGGCCUAGGCUGGGCUGCAGCCCAGGGGCCAGAGCUGCAGAGGGGCCCAAAAUAGGUAGCUAUCAUCAUGGCAGACAAAAAAAAUACGGGAGUGGAGCACAGAAAAGAAAAAAGAAACAAGAAAAAGAGGACUGUGAGAAAGAAGCAUUAAAAAAGACAUUGAAAUUGACAGAGUUUUUUUAAACCUGUUCUCGAUGAUGCAGCAGUACCAUUGCUCUUGUCACAGUCUGAGACCGGUGGACAAAUGAAGACUUCUUCAACAGCUAGUGCUAGCACCAGCGUUAACACAGGACCACAGUCCUUGCCACAGUCAGCAGCUAACGUUGAAGAGGCAGAGAGCAUGACUUUGGGAUUCCCGACCACAGAGGCCUCCGAACAACCAAGUCGGGCCGCCAUUAAUGUUAACGUUACUGCUACUGAGGAUCCUUACAGCACUGAUCCUGCUCGCUGGGGAAAGGAAACGUUAGAUGAUUCAGUCCGAGCAUACUGGGCUAAUAAAAGGCCGGAGUCCUGCCCGAAUAAGGAUGUGGAUAUCAAAGCUUCGGAACGAGUAUACAAACAGCAGAGACGUUUUUUUUCUCCAAA